rnacentral:misc_RNA from 1 species
AAGUCGUAACAAGGUUUCCGUAGGUGAACCUGCGGAAGGAUCAUUAUCACGUAUCCAAACGUAUAAACCCAAUGUGCACCUCUAUCAUCCUCCUUUCAGGGUCUUAUGAAGUGGCAGAGAAGUUGAUAUUUCGAUUCAUGGUCUUUCGAAAUUCUCUGUCGAGCUUUAUUUGCUUUCGGGCAUUUAAACUACCUUCUGAUCCGGGAGUUGUAUCAAACCAUGCUUGUUUUACUAUAACAACUUGUACCUUUCUGAACUAACUUUGGUUUUUCUAACUGACGGUCCCCUAAAAAAGGAUAGUCUGGUAGUAACCUUGAUUUAUACAAACUCUGAACUACUCUUAACAACGGAUAUCUUGGUUCUC